rnacentral:rRNA from 1 species
UACGGAGGGGGCUAGCGUUGUUCGGAAUUACUGGGCGUAAAGCGCGCGUAGGCGGACCUGCAAGUCGGGGGUGAAAGCCCGAGGCUCAACCUCGGAACUGCCUUCGAUACUGCGGGUCUCGAGUCCGGGAGAAGUGAGUGGAAUUCCUAGUGUAGAGGUGAAAUUCGUAGAUAUUAGGAAGAACACCAGUGGCGAAGGCGGCUCACUGGCCCGGUACUGACGCUGAGGCGCGAAAGCGUGGGGAGCAAACAGG